rnacentral:rRNA from 1 species
GAUGAACGCUGGCGGCGUGCCUAAUACAUGCAAGUCGAGCGAACGGACGAGAAGCUUGCUUCUCUGAUGUUAGCGGCGGACGGGUGAGUAACACGUGGAUAACCUACCUAUAAGACUGGGAUAACUUCGGGAAACCGGAGCUAAUACCGGAUAAUAUUUUGAACCGCAUGGUUCAAAAGUGAAAGACGGUCUUGCUGUCACUUAUAGAUGGAUCCGCGCUGCAUUAGCUAGUUGGUAAGGUAACGGCUUACCAAGGCAACGAUGCAUAGCCGACCUGAGAGGGUGAUCGGCCACACUGGAACUGAGACACGGUCCAGACUCCUACGGGAGGCAGCAGUAGGGAAUCUUCCGCAAUGGGCGAAAGCCUGACGGAGCAACGCCGCGUGAGUGAUGAAGGUCUUCGGAUCGUAAAACUCUGUUAUUAGGGAAGAACAUAUGUGUAAGUAACUGUGCACAUCUUGACGGUACCUAAUCAGAAAGCCACGGCUAACUACGUGCCAGCAGCCGCGGUAAUACGUAGGUGGCAAGCGUUAUCCGGAAUUAUUGGGCGUAAAGCGCGCGUAGGCGGUUUUUUAAGUCUGAUGUGAAAGCCCACGGCUCAACCGUGGAGGGUCAUUGGAAACUGGAAAACUUGAGUGCAGAAGAGGAAAGUGGAAUUCCAUGUGUAGCGGUGAAAUGCGCAGAGAUAUGGAGGAACACCAGGGGCGAAGGCGACUUUCUGGUCUGUAACUGACGCUGAUGUGCGAAAGCGUGGGGAUCAAACAGG